rnacentral:tRNA from 1 species
GCCUGGGUGGCUCAGUGGGUUGAGCGUCCGACUUCGGCUCAGGUCAUGAUCUCGUGGUUUGUGGGUUCGAGCCCCGUGUCAGGCU